AUUGUUCCUGCCUGGAGAUAUAAAAAUUUCUCAACAAACACCAGCUUCCUAACUGUUGCAACAGCAAGGACGUCGAGUGUUAGACUUCCUGCAGUGUAUGUGUUAGCUUAGGCUGACACAGGAAGAAUUAAGACUGGGCUGAAGAACCAGCAUUUGCUCAAGGUCUCUGAUUGAACACAUUGGUACCUCCUGCACCCAGAAGCUCUGCACCCACUGCUUCUUCUUCCACACCCCAAGGAUGCUGAGGUCCUAUCAGCCUUGGCUUGUCUCCCAGUAUCGUCAUCUACGUUCGGCUGUGAGCAAAGCUGUCAUAGUGGUAAGCGUUGCCCUGAAGGUAUUUUGCCUCUCCUUUCUGUCUGUGGAAACAAGGUGUAAGAAGGGCUAACUCGAGGUAUUUUUGGGGUACUGCUGCUGUGGCUGCAGGAUGAAGUCUAACAUUCUCCUCCUGCACCACCAAGCAAUGCAAAUUCCAGCAUCAGAGUGAAGAGCAGGAUCAGGAAGGACUAAAACAGUGUCUUUCAGAAACUGCAGGAGUGGAAGAAAAGUUAGAGGGCUCCCACCUGUGAAGCUUUUACGUGGACAGUGGAGGCUGGCUGGUGUGAAACUUACCUACUUGAGGCAGAUGGAAAGGGGACAUGCUGCUCCCUACAAGUCCCAUGGUUGAGGAUGUAAAGUUUUGUGAGAUGGCUGUACCUCAGGGAGUUUCAAAAUGUGCACUAGAGAUGUGUGGUGCUGGGCCAGCCUCCACCUGAUCCAAAAUAACCUGUGAGAUUAUACAGGAGAUGUGGGGAAGCUCAGCACCAGCUGUUUACAGCUAUCAGUCUACUGUUGCUCCAAGCGAAUUGCUAAACACAGCCUACGCUGUUUUAUUCACUGCUCACAGAAAGAACAAAAACCAUAAUAGUUUGCAAUGCACCAUAAUUUUCCAGGAAAUAUAUUCCAUAGCACUCUGAAGGCACAAAUACUGUAUUUAAAUGAGAUUCAUAGCAGUAUAUUUUAUUGGCUUUGAGAGAUAGAUUCAGAAAAAGAGGAUUACCAAACUGAGACUAAUAGCUGCAUUCAACAUACUUAAAUUUACACUAGUUUACAUUUUAAAUAAGAACUCCAUCUGUAGGGGGAAAAUAUAGUGCCUAAACAGGCCUUAUUUUAUUAAAUAGUGCCACCUAGAGGUUAAGCACUUUUUAAUGUUAGAGGGGCAAGGGAUGGAAAGCUCUAUUAAUAGCAGAAAAUGUAUUACAUAAAAUGAUCUGUAUUUGGGAAUUUACUAGGAAAACAAAGUGCUGCAGAGAUUUCUAUACGGUUGUAUCUGGGCAAUGAACUGUAGCUUUUACAGUUCCCUUUGGAGCUGGCUAUACUUUUCCCUUCCUUCCUAGCCUAGCGGUGGUGGGGGAUGUUGUAAAUCCUGAUUUUUCUCUUCUAUGGGUCAGGUCUUGCUUGUACGUGAGCAGCAGAGAGGUUAUCUGCUGCUGCAGGGCUGGGUAGGAGAUUGCUGUCUUGCUGGUUUUGAGUAUGCAAGAACUUAAAGUCUUGAAAAGUUACUUGUUUAGUGAGGCCAGAAUCAGAGAGGAAAUCCUGGCCUAGUUCAUCUCAUGUACUAAAGGAAGGUACUGCAUGGGAGAGGAGUGAGAUGUUGGGACUACACUCUGGCCCUAAGCAGACAUGAUUUAUUCCUCUGAAACUGCCUUUUUCCCCUCGUGCAUUACAAAUUACAGUUUGGUCCUUUUUGCUUGUUUUGACAUAACCUAGAAAUAAGCAGAAGAAACCUAGACUAAUCUGCCCAUCUCUGUACCAUGCUUGUUUUUUUUUUUUCAAACUGAGAUUUCAGCUAAAAGCCUGAACUGGGACUAUUUCUUUCCUGCAUAAGUAAAUAUAAAUACAUACAUACAUACA